AUUGAACGCUGGCGGCAUGCUUUACACAUGCAAGUCGAACGGUAACAGGCCUUCGGGUGCUGACGAGUGGCGAACGGGUGAGUAAUGCAUCGGAACGUACCCAGAGGUGGGGGAUAACGCAGCGAAAGCUGUGCUAAUACCGCAUGUGAUCUGAGGAUGAAAGCGGGGGACCGAGCAGCAAUGUUUGGCCUCGCGCCUUUGGAGCGGCCGAUGUCGGAUUAGCUAGUUGGUGGGGUAAAGGCCUAACAAGGCGACGAUCCGUAGCUGGUCUGAGAGGACGGACAGCCACAGUGGGACUGAGACACGGCCCAGACUCCUACGGGAGGCAGCAGUGGGGAAUUUUGGACAAUGGGCGCAAGCCGGAUCCAGCAAUGCCGCGUGCGGGAAGAAGGCCUUCGGGUUGUAAACCGCUUUUGGCAGGAACGAAACGGUGUCCGCUAAUACCGGGCGCUAAUGACGGUACCUGCAGAAUAAGCACCGGCUAACUACGUG
rnacentral:rRNA from 1 species